CGACUCCCGGCAUGCAGUGGGCGGUCCCCGCGCACGGGGGCGAGCGACGUCACAAUGGCAGUGUGGCUAGCCAGUCAGAGGCGGAGCUGCUCUCGAUCACCACCCUUGCGUCUGCAUCACUUUCGAUGCCAUGGCAACGGCGUAAACAGGCGGAGAAAAAAAUACUGCCCUGAGAACCGGAGAGCAGAGACCGGGAGAGACAGAGACAUAGAGACAGGGAGAUCCAGAGAUGGAGACGCAUACACGGCCGGAGACCCAGACACAGGGCCAAAGACAGACAGAAAUGGGUAACUCAGAGCUGGAAGACGGAGAGAGACCUGAGAUGAGAAGACUCUGAGAUGCAGACAGAGACGGCGGGCAGCGGGGAGGCGACAGAGGUGGAGAGACCCGAACCCGAGAAACAGAGGUGUGGACACCCAGAGACACCGAUCGCUGGAAGAGGAGAUGGGUUCUCGAAUCCAGGGAGCGGACAGCGUGCGAAGGCUGGCCGCGCCGGGGCUUCAGGAGGCAACGGGGGUCCAUUUAUACAGAAGUGUCAAGGAGCUGGCUAAGUCUAAUUGGUUGAGAAUCUGUUCUGUGGGUCUCACCUUUUGUCCAGUGAGCAAAGUGAAGUUAUAAAGAUGAAAGAGAGAAGAGGUUAUGAUGAUCCCAGCUCCAGUCUGUUAGAGCUGCAGUCCUCAGGAAGUGAUUUUUGUGUACGGCAGGGGUCAUCGCACUAUGGGCCAGGGUCAUCGCACUAUGGGCCGCAGGUCAAACCCAGCACUUGCUUUCGUAGCGUCCGAGAGCUAAGGAUGGAUUUUACAUUUUUGAAUGGUUGAAAAAAAUCAAAAGAA
rnacentral:lncRNA from 1 species